rnacentral:rRNA from 1 species
CUAUUUAAAUGAUCCAUGAAACGAUAAGUUUAUUUUUUCAAAAAUUAAUUUAAUCGUACCGAUAACCGCAUCAGGUCUCCAAGGUGAGUAGCUUCUGGCCAUUGAGUAAUGGUAAUUUAGGGAAUUCGGCCAAUUAGAGCUGUAACUUCGGGAUAAAGCUUGGCUCUGAUGGAAAUCAGAACCGAUAGUUACAAGGAGAGCCCAACUGUUUAAUAAAAACUUAGUGUCGCGUCAUACCUUUAUAAGUAAUAAACGUGACAUGAAUCCUGCUCAGUGCUGUGUUUGUUAAACUGGAUUAAUCCAUUUAAGCGCCGGUAAAUAGCUGGGGUAACUAUGACUCUUAUCAAAGUAGCGAAAUACCUCGUCACUUAAUUAGUGACCUGCAUGAACGGAGCUAUGAGGUUCUCACUGUCCCAAAUUAUCACUCAGCGAACCAACAGUUGUGGGAACGGGCACAAAUUAUCCAGCGGGGAAAGAAGACCCUGUAGAGCUUCACUUUGGUCUAAUCUUGUAUAGUUUCGUUAGGGGUGCAGUCUAGGUGGGAGAUUUUUAAUCAAAUAUGAGAAACCACUACCCUUUCUGGAAUUAUACUUACUAAAAUUCUUUUCUAAAUUUUAGGAUCGGAUUAGAUAGAAAGUUUGGCUGGGGCGGCACACCUUCGAAAAAGCAGCGAAGGUGUCCUAAGUUAAGCUCAGUAAGGACAGAAAUCUUACGUUGAGGAUAAGGCCAAAAGCUUAAUUUACUGUGCCUUUUUGUACUAGGAUCAGUUUGGAAACAAAGGCCUAACGAUCCCUAAUUAGUCUUAGGUGUGUAAGACUUGGGGUGACAGACAAGUUACCUCCGGGACAACUGGCUUGUGGCUGCUAAGAGAUCAAAUCAACGCAGCUUUUUGAUUCUUCGAUGUCGGCUCUUCCUAUCCUAGUGAUGUACAAGUCACUAAGGGUUGGAUUGUUCACCCGUAUUAGGGAUCGUGAGCUGGGUUUAGACCGUCGUGAGCCAGGUUUGUUUUAUCCUACUGGAUAUAAUUUAGCAUCUUGAUAGUAGUUUGAUUUAGUACGAGAGGAACUGUUGAAUAUGGUCUCUGGUUUGGGAAUUUUAUGAAAAUAAAAGUUCCAAAGCUACGCCGUCUGAGAUAAUGGCUGAAGGCCUCUUAAGCCAGAAACUCAUCUAAAAAUAGAUGCUUUAAACUAUUUA